rnacentral:rRNA from 1 species
AAUACGUUAAGGGACUAUGUUUUAUUAAGUUCUAAAUAAUAAGCUGAUAAUGACAAUUUAUUAUUUAAAAGUCUUGACAAAAUCUUGUGCCAGCAGUCGCGGCAAUACAAGUAAGACUAGUGUUAUUCAUCUUUAUUAGGUUUAAAAGGUACCUAGAUUGCAAUUUUAGCCUUAUUAGGGGACGAAAUAUGCUAGAGUUUUAUGAAAGAGGUAAAUGUUAGAGCUGCUUGUGUAGGGAUGAAAUAAUUUGAUACAGGCAGAAAUGAUGACGGUAAAUACAGACCUUUAUGUAAAAACUGACAUUGAGGGACGAAGGCCUGGGUAGCAAAUAGGAUUAGACACCCUAGUAGUCCAGGCAGAAAAUUAUGAGUGUCAUAUGUUACAAUUAUGUAAUGUAUAAAUUAAAGUGUAAGCAUUCCACCUUAAGAGUAAUGCGGCAACGCAGGAACUGAAAUCAUUAGACCGUUUCUGAAACCAGUAGUGAAGUAUGUUAUUUAAUUCGAUGAUCCUCGAAUAACCUUACCACAAUUUGAAUGUAUUAACAUAACUAUUAUAGUUUAAUUUUUUAUGCUUAUAGUAUGUUAAUAUCACAGGCGUUGCACGGUUGUCUUUAGUUGAUGUCGU